GCGGCGGGAGGUCAAGCGGACGGCUUUUCUGCUGGCGCAUUUCCUAACUCUGCUGCAACGGGGACAAGGCGUUGCCUGACGCCUUGCCUCUUUACGCACGCUCCCGAGCCCGGCGUCAAGCGAUCCGCAUCGGCCGUCUGUCAAGGUCCGCGCUGACAUUUCUCAAUGAAGCCUUGCCAAGUGGUAGUCGCCAGUUUUCCUUCCCCCAAGGAAAGCUCCAUUUGGAUUUGGGCUUCUAAUGAAAGAUUUGCUUCGAGCGUGGAAGUGUUUAAGAACAGCGUUUGGUCCAGCGAGGAGGCGAACUCGUCGCGCACCCGGCUAGUCCCACGUCGGGACCGGCAGGUCUAGCCCACCGGCCCGGUAGCGGGCACGCCGGACGGCCAGGAUUUGCUUUUGUUGAGCGGGGCUACGCAGAAGCGAGUCCCACUCCUCUUUGAUGAACUUCGGGUAUAUCGACCUGCACUCCCAGAGCAUGUGAGGUAGAGUGGAGAUCUCGCCGCAGGACGGGCAGGCGUCGUCGCGAUACACGUCGGGGUAAGCACAGAGAAAGUGCUUCCUCCAGUGCUUACACGGAUAUGUAUAGAGUUUUAAUUUCAAAAUGUUUUCGUUGUUAGCUUUGUUCAGUUGUAGGCUGAAAGAGUUGUUCUUGGUAUUGAUGCCAAUUUACAUUUAUAUUAGCUUGGAAGCAUGCAUGGCCUUAUGGGCCAGUCUUCUUUUUAGGCGUUCCUAUAGCCGGAACGUUGUAUAUUUUUUUUUUGCAUUUGCUACAUUUCAGUGGGAGCGACUUUAUUGUCCUGCUGUAAAGGUGCACAUGAUGUGUAAAACUUUUUUUUUCAGCAGUGUCAAGUGUCCAAUUCAUGUUUUAGUGCCUGCAAGUUAAUAUACUUAACUUUUGCCUUGUUUUCUUACUUCCUGUCUGCAGUACAAAGUUUUACAUGGACAGUUAACAUGGAUUUAAUGAUGACGUGCAUGAGAGAGAGUGUGUGUGAUUGUGAAGAGGAAAAGGUGCUCAAACACCAUGAUAUGAUACAAGUGAUUUCCUGUGAUAUUAUGCAAGUGAUACUAUUCUUUUGAAGUUUCAAAUCUAGUCAUGUGCCAGCAAGGCCUGCUGUGUUUGUGGUGUAUGCUAUGUUGUAUUUUGAAAUAAAGAUAUUGCACUCUAAAGAACCUUA